rnacentral:lncRNA from 1 species
UUUUUCAUUAACUUGUAUUUCUUUCUUGCUCGUUACUAAUAGUGUCAGAUCAUCUGCAAUUGCUAUGCAUUGGUGGUCUUUUUAAGUAUCGUUUCUUCUGUUUUCUGUAUGUUUAUUCUGCUUUUCCUUUCGACGGCAUAAAGAAGUUGUAAAAUCGCUGCAAUCAUUGUAUUGAGCUAAAAGAGACUGAUUUUCAUUUCAACUUUCAACUUAUCAGACCAUCUAGUACGUAAGAAAUAUCUUUGUUUUUCGUUAUCAUUAAAAUACUCUGGUAUUCUCACCUACAGGCUCUUUGUUUACUUCCUACCGAGAACAUACGAUCUAUAUGUAUCUACAAAUCUACAUGUAUAUAUGUAUCACCUUGAAAUACUUGUAACCGCCCGAGGUGUACAUUGUCAUUAACAUAAAUACUUGUCUUGCUCUCGAUGAAACUUUUGUUUUCCUUAACUGAUUCUGGUACGCGAACGCUGUGAUUAAUCGCUUCAAGAAAAUAGAAAAUGUAAUACUUCCACAAGAAAAAAGAAUUUCCUGUAGUCGGCUGCAUAUCAUUAAUCAUAAAAAAUACUUUAUAAAAUUUGCACUUAAAUUUUUUUCCUGAAAGCCUUGGUGCCGUAUCAGAUGAACAUGGUGAAAGGUUUCACCAGGAUAUAUAUUGCACAUUGAAAGAUGCUACAAUGGGAAAUGGUCAGGAGGAAUGUUUGUCGAUUUUUGUUGGUCGAUUUAUCGAGAAACUUCAAUUGAAACAAUGAAAAGGAAGAAAACUACACUAACUUUUUUAAAUUUUAUCAUCAUAAUGAGAUAGAUUUAGUGACACUUUCAUGGCCUGUACCUGAAAGAAGAGUCUUUUUUACUGUAAAACCUAAAUAUAGUACAACUCUUUAUAGUUGUUGUUACCCUAAUAAUAUCGUUUUUUGAUUAAAUGAACAUGAUAUAAACGUU